AAAAAAAGUAUAAAAUAUCUUGUGCACCUAGUAGGUUGGACAUUGAUCACCUCACUCUCAUGCUUUAAGCUUAGCAUGGCAUGCCAUGGCAUGCCUUCAUGAUCUGCCCACCAUUAUCUAGCCUAAUUUUACCCCAUUUUUCUUAUCAGGACAAUGCUUUUCAGUUCAGUUAAUAUUUUUGAGCACCUGUUCUGUGCCAGACACUGUGCUAAGUACUAUGAACAACGGAAUUAAUUUAUUCAGCCAAUGUAUUGGACUCCUGUGUGCCAGGCAAAGUUCAAGAUUGUGAGGAUACAGCAGUGAAUAAAACAGAUUUCUGACCUCAUGAAACUUGUAUUCUAAUGGAGAAAAUAACAAACAAGAUAAAUAGGCAAAAUAUGUUUUGUGACAUAGGAAAUGCUGUGGAGAAAAUGAAGUAGGGAAGUGAGAUAAGGAGUGUUGAAGUCAGGGGUACAAAGCAUGGUACCCUACCCUUCCAGGAGCUCAUAGUCUAUCUAGUAGAGGAGACAAGUAAGAAAAUACUUAUGGUAUAAGUCCCCAGGAUCAUUUCUCCGGCCCUUGUCAUUAGGCCCAGGGACAUAACCAGUAGAAGUGGCAGAAACCAGGAUUUGCAUACCAGAAGCAAAACCCUUGCCCGUUCAUCUGUAUCACAUGAGGAAAUUACAAAGGUUAUGGCAAAGAUGGCAAACUGGCAGCCCGUAGGCCUUAUGUGGCCCAUGCAUGUAUUUUUGCAUUGGCCCACACAUUUUUU
rnacentral:lncRNA from 1 species